AUGUGGGAGGAGUGCUUGCCUCAUAUUGAAUUUGCUUAUAAUCGUUCAUUGCAUUCUACUACUAAGAUGUGCCCUUUUGAAGUUGUGUAUGGUUUCCUACCUCGUGCACCUAUUGAUUUGUUGCCUCUUCCAUCUUCGGAGAAGGUUAAUUUUGAUGCUAAACAACGUGCUGAAUUGAUUUUAAAAAUGCAUGAGUUAACUAAGGAAAACAUUGAGCGCAUGAAUGCUAAAUAUAAACUUGCUGGAGAUAAGGGUAGAAAACAUGUCGUGUUUGCACCUGGAGAUCUUGUUUGGUUACAUUUGCGUAAGGAUAGAUUUCCUGAUUUGCGCAAAUCAAAGUUAAUGCCACGUGCUGAUGGUCCCUUUAAGGUGUUAGAGAAAAUAAAUGAUAAUGCAUAUAAACUUGAGCUGCCUGCAGAUUUUGGGGUUAGUCCCACUUUUAACAUUGCAGAUUUGAAGCCUUAUUUGGGUGAGGAAGAUGAACUUCCGUCGAGGACGACUUCAUUUCAAGAAGGGGAGGAUGAUGAGGACAUCAAUACAAUUGUUACACCCACAGCCCCUGCUGUUAUACAUACUGGACCAAUUACUAGAGCUCGUGCACGCCAACUAAAUUACCAGGAAAUAGACCCUCGUGGUCAGGUUGAUCGUGCUCCGGCGUGGUCAAUAACCUCUCGGAGUUGGUUUAGCGAUUGCUAA
rnacentral:rRNA from 1 species